CAUUUUCCCGAGCUUAGGGCCAGGCUGAUCUUGUCGGAUUCUCUUCGUCGACGGUAGAGGCUUCGGGCAUCAAGGUAUUAAGUGGCUUGCUGUGAAGGGCUAGAUCACAAUUCCAGUGGUUGUUCUUCAUUUGGGAACCAUUAGCUCUGUGAGAGCUCGGAUCUGUGAAUCAGCAACAUUGGGCAGCAUCAGUGUGUUAG